GGGAGAGUGGGGUCUGUUGGUCCUCUCAGAGUAGGUAAGGGAGAGUGGGGUCUGUUGGUCCUCUCAGAGUAGGUAAGGGAGAGUGGGGUCUGUUGGUCCUCUCAGAGUAGGUAAGGGAGAGUGGGGUCUGUUGGUCCUCUCAGAGUAGGUAAGGGAGAGUGGGGUCUGUUGGUCUUCCCAGAGUAGGUAAGGGAGAGUGGGGUCUGUUGGUCCUCUCAGAGUAGGUAAGGGAGAGUGGGGUCUGUUGGUCCUCCCAGAGUAGGUAAGGGAGAGUGGGGUCUGUUGGUCCUCCCAGAGUAGGUAAGGGAGAGUGGGGUCUAUUGGUCCUCUCAGAGUAGGUAAGGGAGAGUGGGGUCUAUUAGUCCGCUCAGAGUAGGUAAGGGAGAGUGGGGUCUGUCGGUCCUCCCAGAGUAGGUAAGGGAGAGUGGGGUCUGUUGGUCCUCUCAGAGUAGGUAAGGGAGAGUGGGGUCUGUCGGUCCUCCCAGAGUAGGUAAGGGAGAGUGGGGUCUGUUGGUCCUCCCAGAGUAGGUAAGGGAGAGUGGGGUCUGUCGGUCCUCUCAGAGUAGGUAAGGGAGAGUGGGGUCUGUUGGUCCUCUCAGAGUAGGUAAGGGAGAGUGGGGUCUGUUGGUCCUCUCAGAGUAGGUAAGGGAGAGUGGGGUCUGUUGGUCCUCUCAGAGUAGGUAAGGGAGAGUGGGGUCUGUUGGUCCUCUCAGAGUAGGUAAGGGAGAGUGGGGUCUGUUGGUCCUCUCAGAGUAGGUAAGGGAGAGUGGGGUCUGUUGGUCCUCUCAGAGUAGGUAAGGGAGAGUGGGGUCUGUUGGUCCUCCCAGAGUAGGUAAGGGAGAGUGGGGUCUGUUGGUCCUCCCAGAGUAGGUAAGGGAGAGUGGGGUCUAUUGGUCCUCUCAGAGUAGGUAAGGGAGAGUGGGGUCUAUUAGUCCGCUCAGAGUAGGUAAGGGAGAGUGGGGUCUGUCGGUCCUCCCAGAGUAGGUAAGGGAGAGUGGGGUCUGUCGGUCCUCUCAGAAUAGGUAAGGGAGAGUGGGGUCUGUUGGCCCUCUCAGAGUAGGUAAGGGAGAGUGGGGUCUGUUGGUCCUCUCAGAGUAGGUAAGGGAGAGUGGGGUCUGUUGGCCCUCUCAGAGUAGGUAAGGGAGAGUAGGGUCUGUUGGUCCUCUCAGAGUAGGUAAGGGAGAGUGGGGUCUGUUGGCCAAUGGGACAGUGGCAUCUCUCAUGUCUCUUACUACACUAUGA